rnacentral:rRNA from 1 species
AAUGAACGCUGGCGGCAGGCCUAACACAUGCAAGUCGAACGAAGUCUUCGGACUUAGUGGCGGACGGGUGAGUAACGCGUGGGAACAUACCCAAAGGUACGGAAUAGCCUCGGGAAACUGGGAGUAAUACCGUAUGUGCCCUUCGGGGGAAAGAUUUAUCGCCUUUGGAUUGGCCCGCGUUGGAUUAGGUAGUUGGUGGGGUAAUGGCCUACCAAGCCGACGAUCCAUAGCUGGUUUGAGAGGAUGAUCAGCCACACUGGGACUGAGACACGGCCCAGACUCCUACGGGAGGCAGCAGUGGGGAAUCUUAGACAAUGGGCGCAAGCCUGAUCUAGCCAUGCCGCGUGAUCGAUGAAGGCCUUAGGGUUGUAAAGAUCUUUCAGAUGGGAAGAUAAUGACGGUACCAUCAGAAGAAGCCCCGGCUAACUCCGUGCCAGC